rnacentral:rRNA from 1 species
UACGUAGGUGGCAAGCGUUGUCCGGAUUUACUGGGCGUAAAGAGCGCGCAGGCGGUCGUUCAAGUCGCGUGUGAAAGCCCCCGGCUCAACUGGGGAGGGUCACGCGAUACUGAUCGACUCGAAGGCAGGAGAGGGUAGUGGAAUUCCCGGUGUAGUGGUGAAAUGCGUAGAUAUCGGGAGGAACACCAGUGGCGAAGGCGGGUUGCUGGGCCGACACUGACGCUGAGGCGCGAAAGCUAGGGGAGCGAACGGG